rnacentral:rRNA from 1 species
AAUCAACGCUGGCGGCGUGCCUCAGACAUGCAAGUCGAACGAUUAAAGCUCUCUUCGGAGAGUGUAUAGAGUGGCGCACGGGUGAGUAACACGUAAGUAAUCUACCCUCGAGUGGGGAAUAACAACCGGAAACGGUUGCUAAUACCGCAUAAUGCAGCGGCACCGCAAGGUGACAGUUGUUAAAGAUUUAUCGCUUGCGGAGGAGCUUGCGGCAGAUUAGCUAGUUGGUAGGGUAACGGCUUACCAAGGCUACGAUCUGUAACCGGUCUAAGAGGACGGUCGGUCACACUGACACUGAAUAACGGGUCAGACUCCUACGGGAGGCAGCAGUCGGGAAUUUUGGGCAAUGGGCGAAAGCCUGACCCAGCAACGCCGCGUGAAGGAUGAAGUAUUUCGGUAUGUAAACUUCGAAAGAAUAGGAAGAAUUAAUGACGGUACUAUUUAUAAGGUCCGGCUAACUACGUG